rnacentral:lncRNA from 1 species
AUGAAUUAAAACAGGCAGAACUCAAAGCAGUUCCUUAGCUUCUUCAUUUUGUUUCUCUAAUUGUCUUAAAAUUCCUCUCGUUCCCUUAUUCCUAUAAACUGGGAAUUCAUAGUUCUAUCGACUAGAAGUUUUGGAUCAAGUGGUAUCUUAAAAUUCAUCUCGUUCCCUUAUUCCUAUAAACUGGGAAUAAGGGAACGAGACCCACCUUUAGCGACCGUUUGCCCAUCUGUCUGUGGAUGAAAUGCAGUGCUUCUUUUCGAUCUAGUAUCCAUCAUUCCCCAUAACGACCUCCAGAAAUGGCCUAAGAAUCGACUGUCUCUGUCAGAAAUAAUUGAUGUAGGUAAGCCAAAAUGCUUCCAAAUAUAUUGGAAAAAUAACUUAGCAGCUCCUUCUCCAGUUACGGUCUUCUUGCAUGGAAUGAGAAUCACCAUCUUACUGAAACGAUCUACCACCACAAACAAGUAGUCAUUUCCAGACUUGAUUUUAGGCAAUCCACCUAAGAAAUCCAUCGAGAUACUCUCCCAAGGUCGAGUAGGUACUGGUAAUGGAAGAUACAGUCCUAACUUCCUGUUGGAAGGCUUCGAUGUGUUGCAUAGAACACAACCUCGAAUGUAUCGUGAAACAUCGAGAUGCAUCUUUGGCCAAUACACAUAACGACGAAGAUUCAAUAAAGUCUUCUCAACUCCAAAAUGCCCUGCUACUUUGGAAGUAUGAGCCUCACGAAUCCACUGCAACCUGUCGCCAUCUUUUGGAAUGCACAAUUGUGUUCCCUUAUACAUUAGUCCAUCUUUCAAUUGAAACUCACUAGUCUUUCCUUGUUG